UGCAGAGGUCCCAAGCGUUGUUCGGAUUCACUGGGCGUAAAGGGUGCGUAGGUGGUGAGGUAAGUCGGAUGUGAAAUCUCCAAGCUCAACUUGGAAAUGGCAUUGGAAACUACCUUGCUGGAGGUUUGGAGGGGGGACUGGAAUUCUCGGUGUAGCAGUGAAAUGCGUAGAUAUCGAGAGGAACACCAGUGGCGAAGGCGAGUCCCUGGACAAAACCUGACACUGAGGCACGAAAGCUAGGGGAGCAAACAGG
rnacentral:rRNA from 1 species